CGCACAUUGCGCCUCUUGGUAUUCCAGGAGGCAUGCCUGUUUGAGCGUCAGUACACACUCACAAGUGAUUCACUAGUCUUCAUCGACGUAAUGUGAUUUGCUAUGUGGUCUUGAGCCGUGGUGGGCAGCAGCUCUCCUGGCUUGAAAUGCAUCGUCUAUCAAGAUCAUGUCUGUGUAGGGUAGUGUGAUAGGUAUUACCAACUCACUCUCCUCCGUAAUAGGCCAGUCUGGACACUCCAUCGCAUGCAGCUCGCGGCUGCGUGCACUGAACUCUUGACCUCAAAUCAGGUAGGGAUACCCGCUGAACUUAA
rnacentral:misc_RNA from 1 species